GACGAACGCUGGCGGCGUGCCUAAUACAUGCAAGUCGAACGAACUCUGGUAUUGAUUGGUGCUUGCAUCAUGAUUUACAUUUGAGUGAGUGGCGAACUGGUGAGUAACACGUGGGAAACCUGCCCAGAAGCGGGGGAUAACACCUGGAAACAGAUGCUAAUACCGCAUAACAACUUGGACCGCAUGGUCCGAGCUUGAAAGAUGGCUUCGGCUAUCACUUUUGGAUGGUCCCGCGGCGUAUUAGCUAGAUGGUGGGGUAACGGCUCACCAUGGCAAUGAUACGUAGCCGACCUGAGAGGGUAAUCGGCCACAUUGGGACUGAGACACGGCCCAAACUCCUACGGGAGGCAGCAGUAGGGAAUCUUCCACAAUGGACGAAAGUCUGAUGGAGCAACGCCGCGUGAGUGAAGAAGGGUUUCGGCUCGUAAAACUCUGUUGUUAAAGAAGAACAUAUCUGAGAGUAACUGUUCAGGUAUUGACGGUAUUUAACCAGAAAGCCACGGCUAACUACGUGCCAGCAGCCGCGGUAAUACGUAGGUGGCAAGCGUUGUCCGGAUUUAUUGGGCGUAAAGCGAGCGCAGGCGGUUUUUUAAGUCUGAUGUGAAAGCCUUCGGCUCAACCGAAGAAGUGCAUCGGAAACUGGGAAACUUGAGUGCAGAAGAGGACAGUGGAACUCCAUGUGUAGCGGUGAAAUGCGUAGAUAUAUGGAAGAACACCAGUGGCGAGGCGGCUGUCUGGUCUGUAACUGACGCUGAGGCUCGAAAGUAUGGGUAGCAAACAGGAUUAGAUACCCUGGUAGUCCAUACCGUAAACGAUGAAUGCUAAGUGUUGGAGGGUUUCCGCCCUUCAGUGCUGCAGCUAACGCAUUAAGCAUUCCGCCUGGGGAGUACGGCCGCAAGGCUGAAACUCAAAGGAAUUGACGGGGGCCCGCACAAGCGGUGGAGCAUGUGGUUUAAUUCGAAGCUACGCGAAGAACCUUACCAGGUCUUGACAUACUAUGCAAAUCUAAGAGAUUAGACGUUCCCUUCGGGGACAUGGAUACAGGUGGUGCAUGGUUGUCGUCAGCUCGUGUCGUGAGAUGUUGGGUUAAGUCCCGCAACGAGCGCAACCCUUAUUAACAGUUGCCAGCAUUAAGUUGGGCACUCUGGUGAGACUGCCGGUGACAAACCGGAGGAAGGUGGGGAUGACGUCAAAUCAUCAUGCCCCUUAUGACCUGGGCUACACACGUGCUACAAUGGAUGGUACAACGAGUUGCGAACUCGCGAGAGUAAGCUAAUCUCUUAAAGCCAUUCUCAGUUCGGAUUGUAGGCUGCAACUCGCCUACAUGAAGUCGGAAUCGCUAGUAAUCGCGGAUCAGCAUGCCGCGGUGAAUACGUUCCCGGGCCUUGUACACACCGCCCGUCACACCAUGAGAGUUUGUAACACCCAAAGUCGGUGGGGUAACCUUUUAGGAACCAGCCGCCUAAGGUGGGACAGAUGAUUAGGGUG
rnacentral:rRNA from 1 species